rnacentral:rRNA from 1 species
GGUGAACGCUGGCGGCGUGCUUAAGACAUGCAAGUCGAACGGCAGUCUUCGGACUGUAGUGGCGCACGGGUGAGUAACGCGUAACUGACCUACCCCAAAGUCGCGGAUAACGAUUCGAAAGAAUCGCUAAUACGUGAUGUGCUGUCAGAUUGUGUUCUGCCAGUAAAGAUUGAUUGCUUUGGGAUGGGGUUGCGUUCCAGCAGCUAGUUGGUGGGGUAAAGGCCCACCAAGGCGACGACGGAUAGCCGGCCUGAGAGGGUGGCCGGCCACAGGGGAACUGAGACACGGGUCCCACUCCUACGGGAGGCAGCAGUUAGGAAUCUUCCACAAUGGGCGAAAGCCUGAUGGAGCGACGCCGCGUGAGGGAUGAAGGUCUUCGGAUCGUAAACCUCUGAAUCAGGGACGAAAGACACUUCGGUGGGAUGACGGUACCUGAGUAAUAGCACCGGCUAACUCCGUGCCAGCAGCCGCCGUAACAC